ensembl:ncRNA lncRNA:CR44928 long non-coding RNA:CR44928
CCCGUCUGUACAAACCUUUUUGGUACUUCCAUUAACUCCUUACACUGUGGCAGCAAGCCUGAUGGGCGAUUAUGCUGCGUGAUGCCUGCCUCAGCCUGUUCGUAUCAGGGUGACGUCUAUUGGCUUUUGUUGGGUGCAGGCGACGCCCCGUAUGUCGCUGCCUGACAGGAAUAUAAACAGGAGGACGGGACAGGAUGGCAGGUCCUGGGGAAGGAGGCGAUGCAGGGACUGCACGCGGCGAUGAAAUUGAUUUUUAAACUGCCAGCGCAUCUCAUGUCGUUAGCAAAUCAUAAAAGUGUGGCGGCUGCUGUUCCCGCUCCUGCUGCUGCGCUUAGUAGUUGUUGUUUUGUCAUCGCAUAAUGAGGAAAGUGCCGGGGUUCCACCAGCUACAGCUCCUGCUCCUGCCCCUGCUCUUGCUCGUGAUCCUACUGCUGCUUGGCAAGAUGGGUUCUCCUGGAGCAGCGGGCGGCACUGCAUCUGACAUUAAGUAAGAUGGAUGGCGUUGACGUUGCGUGCAGCAUUUAGCCCUGAUCCCUUUGAGUCCAUAUUGAUGCCAAAGACGCGUCGUUGCCUUGGGGCAAAAUUCAAUUUGACCCGCCGAUGACUUUGGUCAACUUCAUUUUACGCUCAACUUUUAAUGGAGCACGGCCAAUGACUUGAUGAACCACGAAAAAUUGCGGAAAAUAUUCAGACAUUUUCCAAGAUAACUUCAAGUUGGGAAAAUGUAUAUCCACAUAAUGACAGUGGGUCAAAAUAUACUGUUUUG